rnacentral:lncRNA from 1 species
GGCAAGGAGUUUUAUAAGCGUGUUGCCCGGUUCUCCUUUGGGGCGCUGUGUCACAUCAUCUGGAGAAACAGGAACAAUAUUCUGUUCAGGGGGGAGCCGUUAUCUAUUUCGGCCAUGAAGAAGCAUCUCCUCAAGGUUGUUAAGGAUAAGGCCCUUACCUUUGAGAAUGUUGAGGACUCUCCCAGGAACAGGCGGAUGCAACGCUCGUGGGAUGUGGACCCCAUUAUUUUCGCUUCCUCUGAUUAUAGUCUGACUUAGGCUUUUCGGUGGUUGUUUAGGUGUUUUUGCCAGGCUUGUUUUGCCGUUGGCUUGCUGUAGGUCGUUUUGUUUGCUUGUCCGCGGCUUCCUUUCACUCUUAAUGAGCGUGUUCAUUUUGAGUGUAAGCUUUUGGAGCCGUGUUGUUUGUACAGUUUGACCCCUAUUAAUAUAUUG